GUAGUCCCAGGGAUGUAGCCCUUAAGUACAGUCUGUCAGUUCUUUUAUGAAGAUGUAAGAAUACCCUUCCAAAGUCAAGGUUUAUUCAUCCCAAGACUCUGCCUGCCCUUUAGGGAAGAGAACCAUCAGAGGAGAGCCAGUGCAGAUCCCAGAUCUGGCCUCUGUCUUCUCCAGUCACAACCCGCCUUGGCUGUUUGGUGGAAGAGGUCACCCUGCUGCAUAAAGUGUAAUUUUGAGAAGAAAUGCUGCUGCUCGCUGGUGCCUUGUUUGCCUAAAAAAUAUUUAACUCACAGAAAAAAAUAUCUGGGAACUCGCAAUGUGUUCCAGAAGAAUCUUUCAACAGAGCAAUGCAACUGCAAGGUUGUCAAGACAAAUGGAAACAGAUAAGAAUGAGUCAAUGUGGUAUUUAAGCAAGUUAGAAUUAGAAAGUGAGGAUGGAUUCAUAGUGGCUAUAUAUCUCUUCAAUUGAUUUAAUAAAUACAUCUGCAGAAUUUAUAAAAAAGGAUGUUUUAUCCAGCAGUCCUAUUGUUAACCUUAGGACUUUCCAAUCCCUAGCUUUCUGAUCAUAUAUUUUUUUCAAUUUGGGAAUUAGAACAGAGCAUUGUCCUGAUGGACUAAUGCACAUCACUAUGACCUGGCAGACAAAACUGGUCCCGUUUCCACCACAGCAAUUUUAUGUAUUGGUCUCAAGUUACAAAUACUCUGAGCACCCAAGAUAUCCUGGGAAUCUGAGUGGUGUGAGCCUGUGUCUCCAUGUUUCUAUGGUAACUCCAACACACAUAAUAAGCCAAGUGAUCAGAAAUAAAUCAGUCUACUAUGUUCUUAAUUUCCUUAUGAAAAACUCCAGGUGUGCAUGUAUGUAUUUUAACUGCAAGCCAAGCUUCAGAUAAAAGUGUGAAUUAUAUAUACAAUAUACAUGCCACACAGACAGAAAAAUGUGUGUAUAUUCUACAGGAAUCCCACAUGUAUGUAUUAUACUGUGCACAUGUAAAAAGAGGCACUGACUUCAUAAAAUGCUGAAAGCUAUUCAGGCUAUCUCUACACCAAAAGUAAACUGGCAGAAAGUAAAUAAGUACGUGAGAAAAAGCACAGGAUCAAAACAGCAGAUGCAGGUUUAAAACUAGCUCAGAGAUUUUCCUGUUGUUUGACAUUUUGGAAAUCUGUGUUCUCUGAUGACCACUUUCAUAUAAGUCUAUUUCCAGUGUCAAGGUGGAGGUAGUAUUUAUAAUUCUCCAACAUAUUUUAGAAUGGGAAACCAGAUGUUACCUGCAUACAAGGCUUUAAGUCCCUGGGUGAAGUCUGUCCUGAGCCACAGAGUAAGGAGGGAGCCGGUGCUGACGCUGAAGAAAUGCAGCUGAAAUCCUGGUAACUAGCAUCCUUAGGCCUGCUGUUCCUCCUGACAGCUGCGGGGUGUCUCAACAUUUCCGGAGACCACAGCUGAGUCCUGAGUCCUUCACCUGGAGAGUAGCCUCAGGGCUUUGCACUCCCGCCCCAAGUCGACUUCCAGGCCCUUCACAGGGGCC